rnacentral:rRNA from 1 species
AUUCCAGCUCCAAUAGCGUAUAUUAAAGUUGUUGCAGUUAAAAAGCUCGUAGUUGGAUUUCUGGCGUGCGACCCGGGUCGGCCCGAAAUGGGUCUGUACUAGGAGUCGCGCGCCAUCCUUGGGGCGAGGCGUACUACCAUUAACUUGGCGGUGCGUUGAGCCCCAUCGUUUACUGUGAACAAAUUAGAGUGUUUAAAGCAGGCAUAUGCCUUGAAUACAUUAGCAUGGAAUAAUAAGAUAGGACUUCGGUAAUAUUUUGUUGGUUCAUUAUUGAGGUAAUGAUUAAUAGGGAUAGUUGGGGGUAUUCAUAUUCAAUUGUCAGAGGUGAAAUUCUUGGAUUUAUGGAAGAUGAACAACUGCGAAAGCAUUUACCAAGGAUGUUUUCAUUA